GCUUUUUGUUUUUUAAAAGUUUUUUCUGCUCGGUGUUAUUUAACAGCCGCGGUACUUUGACCGUGCAAAGGUAGCAUAAUCAUUUGCCUCAUAAUUGGGGGCUAGAAUGAAUGAAUAAACAAAAGUUUUUCUUUAUUUGGGUAAAAAAUUUAAUUUUCUGUUUAAGUGAAGAAGCUUGAAUUACAAAGGGGACAAGAAGACCCUUUUGAGCUUUAUUUGUUUUCUUUUUGUGAUUAAUAAAUUUGGUUGGGGCGACCAAGGAGUAUCUUCCUUUAUAAUUUUGAUCCAUUUUUAAUGAUUAAAAGAGCAAGUUACCAAAGGGAUAACAGCGUAAUCUCCCUUAAGAGUUCUUAUUAAAUGGGAGGAUUGCGACCUCGAUGUUGACUUAUAGUUUCUCUAUGGUGCAGCAGCUGUAGAAGAGGGUCUGUUCGACCUUUAAACCUUU
rnacentral:rRNA from 1 species